GACGAACGCUGGCGGCGUGCUUAACACAUGCAAGUCGAACGGAAAGGCCCUGCUUGCAGGGUACUCGAGUGGCGAACGGGUGAGUAACACGUGGGUGAUCUGCCCUGCACUUCGGGAUAAGCCUGGGAAACUGGGUCUAAUACCGGAUAGGAGCCAUUUUUAGUGUGAUGGUUGGAAAGUUUUUUCGGUGUAGGAUGAGCUCGCGGCCUAUCAGCUUGUUGGUGGGGUAAUGGCCUACCAAGGCGGCGACGGGUAGCCGGCCUGAGAGGGUGGACGGCCACAUUGGGACUGAGAUACGGCCCAGACUCCUACGGGAGGCAGCAGUGGGGAAUAUUGCACAAUGGGCGCAAGCCUGAUGCAGCGACGCCGCGUGGGGGAUGACGGCCUUCGGGUUGUAAACUCCUUUCGCUAGGGACGAAGCUUUUUGUGACGGUAACUAGAUAAGAAGCACCGGCUAACUACGUG
rnacentral:rRNA from 1 species